rnacentral:tRNA from 1 species
GCGCCCGUAGCUCAAUUGGAUAGAGCGUCUGACUACGGAUCAGGAGGUUAGGGGUUCGACUCCUCUCGGGCGCGCCA